rnacentral:rRNA from 1 species
UACGAAGGGGGCGAGCGUUGUCCGGAAUUAUUGGGCGUAAAGAGCUCGUAGGCGGUUUGUCGCGUCUGCUGUGAAAACUCGGGGCUUAACCCCGGGCCUGCAGUGGGUACGGGCAGACUAGAGUGCGGUAGGGGAGACUGGAAUUCCUGGUGUAGCGGUGAAAUGCGCAGAUAUCAGGAGGAACACCGGUGGCGAAGGCAGGUCUCUGGGCCGUAACUGACGCUGAGGAGCGAAAGCGUGGGGAGCGAACAGG